rfam:Ovis aries breed Texel chromosome 11, whole genome shotgun sequence.
UCCCUGAUACCUCAGUUGGUAAAGAAUCUGCCUGCAAUGCAGGAGACCCUGGUUCGAUUCCUGGGUUGGGAA